rnacentral:rRNA from 1 species
CCCUACGGGGCGCAGCAGUGGGGGAUAUUGCACAAUGGGGGGAACCCUGAUGCAGCGACGCCGCGUGGGUGAAGAAGCGCCUCGGCGCGUAAAGCCCUGUCAGCAGGGAAGAAAAUGACGGUACCUGAAGAAGAAGCCCCGGCUAACUACGUGCCAGCAGCCGCGGUAAUACGUAGGGGGCAAGCGUUAUCCGGAUUUACUGGGUGUAAAGGGGGCGCAGACGGCGAUGCAAGCCAGGAGUGAAAGCCCGGGGCCCAACCCCGGGACUGCAUUGGGAACUACCGGGCUGGAGGGCCGGAGAGGUA